UAGCAUCUCACAGAGUGUGCUAGCAUCUCACAGAGUGUGCUAGCAUCUUACAGAGUGUGCUCUGUAGGACGUACGGUUAGUGAGGGCUCUGCCGUGCCUCGUCUGACUGCAGUUACGUGGCUGCCGCCUGGCCAUGUUAACUGGGUGGUAAUUUUAGAUUUUUUUUUUUAGUUAAAACCCGUUAUACAUAGAAUGUUUAUUAUAAACUAAUAUAAAGUGUGCUCUACACCACUGGCUCAGAGCUGGGGUAAACAGCAAACCCCUAAACUGUCCUUCUGACUAGAAGACACCUGGAAGUUAGAACUGUGGAGGUGCCAUGGCGGUGGGCCACUGGUGGCUCUCACUGCCACUCCCCUCCUUCUUGGGUCCUCCCCUCUCCGUUCCCACUCCAGCUUCAGGACAGUUUGGGAACUUCAUUUCCCAGUGUCAAGGCAGAGCAGACUGUAGGCUGAGGUCUGGUUUGAUUCAUUUUGGUUUACUUGGGAAGCUUUCUCUUAGGAAACAAGUGCCCGCUUCAUGCUGAGCGUCUGUUUCCACAGUGCGCCGAGGCCCACCUGCUGAAAGGGAACCGCUGUGCCUUGGGCCCCAUGGGUGGUAAUUGCUUAUGGACCAAGGUUACCCUAAGGGGAGCUCGUUAGCCAAUUCACACUUUUCUGGAACACUUCACAGUCCCCCCAAAUGUCUUGAUUCUCUUCAGCCAUUGAGCACACCUGGACAGCCAAGUAGUCAGCACGAAAAGUGGGGGCUCCUUUAGAACCACUUACGGUGCCUCCACUACAAGAAAAAGAAAACAGCAAAAUAAACAAAACCUAAAAGCUCCCAGCAACUCCUUAGAGGAGAGAAGGACAUCUUAAGCAGCCCUUCUCCUCCCUAUUCACGACUGCUUUAGGAUUUAAGUCAGGCGCACGGAAGCCUCACAGUCAGCUGGCUACACUGGGUUUAGAGCAGAGGUACAUCACCCUGCGAGCCCUGCAGAAGUCUGCCACUCCCCUCCGCAAAGGAUGCACAGCCCCUGCCGUCCCGCCUCUGUCCCAGCUGCUCUAGCUGGGAUUUGAACACCAUGACUCUCGUGUCCUUCCCAGUUGAGAUCAUCUUCCCUAAGCACUGAACUCUCACCUGCUAACCCCAGAGGAAACCAUGAAGAUCAUAAGAGAUCCUGGGCAUGGUGACACACUCCUGUUAUCCCAACACUCAGGAGCCUGAGACAGGAGGUAAGCCUGGGCUAUUUAACUUGACCCUGUCUAAAAAAAAAAUAAAAAAGGGUUGUAAAAGAGCUGGCACAGGGUCAUAUCCUUCCACCUCCCCAUGCAUAGAGAUGCAUAGAGUGAGUCCUGUGAGGCAAGCCUUGCUGGUUCAUAGAGUUCCUGUCCAGCAGACUUGUCUCCCCGUUGCACCUUUUCAAGACACCUGAUUACUGGGCAUUGUGGCAUUUGCCUGUAUACAAGCACUUAGGAAGCUGAAGCAGGAGGAUUGCUGGGAGGUUGAAUCUGCCUCUGGUGCCUAGGGAAACCCUGUCUCACAAAACCAAGCAAAAUUCCUGCUCUCCUUUCCCCUGGCCAGUGGAGAAAACCUGAAAGUACAUCUCCUUUGAGCUUUGUUUAAAUGGCCGGAUUCUAGCAUUCGUUCCCGUUAAAGUUCUCCCUAACAUUGGAGCCCUUUGAAUGUCUUCUGAGACCUACAGUCAACCCGUGUCAUACCUGCUGUUUGGCUGCCUAGCAGAAAAUCUAGACUGGUUGACCCACCCAUCUGGUGGGCUCCGGUUUUCUGCUUCCUUGAGUCCAGAUUGUCGAAUAGAAGUGUAUAUGCAAUAUGCACCGUGACCCUUCCCGCUAGGGCUGAUGGGCCACUGUGUAGCCUGCUGCGUGGCCGGCGCACCUGUGGGGGCUGCGGGAGACUUGCUCCUCCCCCAUGGCUGGCAGGGAACGCCCAUCCCGCAGGCCCCUCCCACAGGUAGUGACGGAACCCGCAGGCUGCCUUCUUCAGUUAAGUUCCGUCUUUGAAACUGACAAUCUUUAAAAUGUGAAUACUGUAACAAUAUGUUUUCUUGGAUUGUUGUCUUUAAAAGGAUUUUUUGUGAAGCAACUGAUUUAUCAAAGAAAAAAAAAUUAAAACCAGAAACAUGCCUCGUG
rnacentral:lncRNA from 1 species